CAAUGGAGGAAACUCUGAACCAGCCACUCCGCGUGCAGGACGACGGCCUUCUGGGUUGUAAACUGCUUUUGUAUAGAAAUAAAAUUUCUUACUAGUAAGAACUUGAAGGUACUAUACGAAUAAGUGUCGGCUAACUCCGUGCCAGCAGCCGCGGUAAUACGGAGGACACAAGCGUUAUCCGGAUUUAUUGGGUUUAAAGGGUGCGUAGGCGGUUUGUUAAGUCAGUAGUGAAAUCUUACAGCUCAACUGUAAAAUUGCUAUUGAUACUAGCAGCCUAGAGUAAGAUUGGAGCAAUUGGAAUGUGUGGUGUAGCGGUGAAAUGCAUAGAUAUCACACAGAACACCGAUCGCGAAGGCAGAUUGCUAAGUCUUUACUGACGCUGAGGCACGAAAGCGUGGGUAGCAAACAGGAUUAGAUACCCUGGUAGUCCACGCUGUAAACGAUGAUCACUAGCUGUUGGAUUGUUUUUUUUAUUCAGUGGCCAAUCGAAAGAGGUAAGUGAUCCACCUGGGGAGUACGAUCGCAAGAUUGAAACUCAAAGGAAUUGACGGGGGUCCGCACAAGCGGUGGAGCACGUGGUUUAAUUCGAUAAUACGC
rnacentral:rRNA from 1 species